UCUCUCUCUCUCUCUCUCUCUCUCUCUCUCUCUCGAGUCUCGACCCAGCAGAGAGAAACAAAACAAUCAUCAUCUUCUCUCAAUCAAAGGAGAUUACAUCUUCUUUUACUUUACUUUUGUUCCAUCUCUGUUUGUAGAUUCGAAUAUCUUAAGAGAUUCAUUUAACUCGGUGAAAUCGAGAUUAAGGAUUUGUGCGAAAAGAUCAAACCCAAUUUGUUUGGUAUUUUGGGGAUCGAGAGAGAGUGGGGUGUAAAAAAUCAGAGUGAAGGAGAAAAAAUUACAGAGGAUCCGUUUCAGAUCUGUUUCCAUCUCCUCCGGUACUUUGAUUCGUCCUCUCUCUGUGUAUGUGUUUUAAACUAUGCUUAGCUAGUGCAUGAACAUUAAGCGGCAUUGGAGUCGCUGAUAUAUAUUCUAAAAUCAAGAUCAUGAACCGAAGAAGAUGAAAUCAAUUGAAUGAUUACUCCUACACAAUUCCAUCGUUGAAGAUAAUAGUUUACUCGAUAUCUCUCAUCUUUUUCUCUGUGGUGUGGUGUGGUGUGGUGUGGGGAGAUUUCUGAUUUUGUUGGGGAGCUCAUGGAAGAGAUGACUCCUGC